rnacentral:rRNA from 1 species
CUCCGCUGUUAGAGCCGGCCGCGCGCGCCAGGAACGGUUCAUUCGGGGAAGGUGGCUAACCAGCAAGUCACGGCUAACUACGAACCAGCAGC